rnacentral:rRNA from 1 species
AUGAUUGGCGCGGAGGCCGCCGCGGGCUCUCGCCCGGUCCUGGCCGCGCAGGUCACCGAGCUCGACGACGGCGUCUUUGUUGCCAUGUCGGUCAACCACGGGGUGGCCGACGGGACAACCUUCUGGCACCUGUUCAACACUUGGUCGGAGAUCAGCCGGCGUAGUGUCAACGGCGACCGCGAAUGCGAGAUCUCCUCGCCGCCGCCGGUAUUCGACAGGUGGUUCCCCGACGGCUGCGCCGUCCCCAUCGCAGUACCCUUGGGCAAGCUGGACGACAUCGUGGGGCACCGUCGAGGUGCUUAUGGUCAGCGCCCACCGGUACAGGAAUGCUUCCUGCGUUUCUCCGGGGAGAGCGUCAAGGAGCUCGUGUCAAAGGCCAACGCCGAGAUGUCCGGCUCCGGCGCCACCAUCUCCUCGCUGCAGGCCGUACUCGCGCACAUGUGGCGCGCGGUGUGCCGCGCCUGGAGGCUGGCGCCUGAGGAGGAGACGCGGUACGUCAUCCAGGUCGGAUGCCGGGGUCGCGUGGACGGCGUGCCGGCGGCCUACUCUGGCAACGCGGUGUCGCUCGCCGCGGCCGAUUCCACCGCCGGCGAGAUCCUGGAGAAAGGGCUGGGCCGGGCGGCGUGGCUGCUGAACCAGGCCGUGGCGUCGUUCGACGGGGCGCGCGAGAGGGAGGAACUCGCGGCCUGGGCCCGAGAGCCCAGCUUCGGGAUGCCGCCGGCGCUCGCGCGGGGCGCCGAAGCUCCUGCGCUGCUGGUCACGGGAAGCUCGCCGCGGUUCGACGUGUACGGCAACGACUUCGGGUGGGGGGCGCCGGUGGCGGUGCGGAGCGGCGCGGGGAACAAGCUGGGCAGAAAGGUGACGGUGUACGAGGGCGGGUGCGGCGCCGGGAGCAUGGCGCUGGAGGUGUGCCUCGUCCCCGACGCGCUCGCUAGGCUCGUCGCCGACCAGGAGUUCAUGAGCGCCACCGUGCCGUGA